GGUUGUGGCGCAGCGGUAGAGCACUCGCGUUGCACAUGCGAGACCCUGGGUUCGAUCCUCAACACCA
rnacentral:tRNA from 1 species